rnacentral:rRNA from 1 species
GCACAUCAAUAAGCGGAGGAAAAGAAACUAACAAGGAUUCCCCUAGUAACUGCGAGUGAAGCGGGAAAAGCUCAAAUUUAAAAUCUGGUGGUCUUCUGGCCAUCCGAGUUGUAAUCUAGAGAAGUGUUAUCCGUGCUGGACCGUGUACAAGUCCCCUGGAAUGGGGCGUCAUAGAGGGUGAGAAUCCCGUCUUUGACACGGACUACCAGGGCUUUGUGAUGCACUCUCAACGAGUCGAGUUGUUUGGGAAUGCAGCUCAAAAUGGGUGGUAAAUUCCAUCUAAAGCUAAAUAUUGGCGAGAGACCGAUAGCGAACAAGUACCGUGAGGGAAAGAUGAAAAGAACUUUGGAAAGAGAGUUAAACAGUACGUGAAAUUGUUGAAAGGGAAACGCUUGAAGUCAGUUUUUCAGACGUCGGCCGGGGAUCAACCUUGCUUUUGUGUAGGUAAUCGUACUUCCUGGUUGACGGGUCAGCAUCAGUUUUGGCUGCUGGACAAAGGUCAGGGAAAUGCUGGCACUCUUUUCGGGUGUGUUAUAGUCUCUGAUCAUAUACAGCUGGCUGGGCCAUCUGAGGAACUUCAGCACGCCGAAAGGCCGGGGUUCGCCCUAACGUUCGUGCUUAGGAUGCUGCAA